GAAACAUUUACUUCACAACUACCGCCGAAAGAAAAUUCUUCUGUGCUUCAAGAAAGUUCAGGACCUCCUAAAGUCAAGAAGAAGGACAUCAUUCCUGACCCUAAUGUUGACAAACAAGCUUCAGAAGGAGAUCAGUCAACGAUAAUGGGGUGUGGAUCAUCGACAAGAGUGGAAACCCUUCAAAAGACAAAUGGCCAUCUGGAAACAUUUACUCCACAACCGCCACAGAAGGAAAAUUCUCCUCCUCUUCAAGAAGGUUUAGGACCUCCUAACCUCAAGGAAAAUGACAUCAUUCCCAACCCUAAUAUGUUCACGGCUAAUG